rnacentral:rRNA from 1 species
UAGGGAAUAUUGGACAAUGGGUGAGAGCCUGAUCCAGCCAUGCCGCGUGCAGGAAGAAGGCGUUAUGCGUUGUAAACUGCUUUUGCCAGGGGAUAAAAAGACCGUGCGCGGUUAAUUGAAGGUACCUGGUGAAUAAGCCACGGCUAACUACGUGCCAGCAGCCGCGGUAAUACGGGGGGUGCAAGCGUUAAUCGGAAUUAUUGGGCGUAAAGGGUGCGUAGGUUGUUUGAUAAGAUAUAUGUGAAAUACCUGGGCUCAACCUGGGAAGGUCAUAUAAGACUGUCAGACUCGAGUAUGGGAGAGGGUAGAGGAAUUUCCGGUGUAGCGGUGAAAUGCGUAGAUAUCGGAAGGAACAUCGGUGGCGAAGGCGUCUACCUGGCCUAAUACUGACACUGAGGCACGAAAGCGUGGGGAGCAAACAGGAUUAGAUACCCCGGUAGUCCCUGAGCGGGCUGGCAAGGCGCAU